rnacentral:misc_RNA from 1 species
CGCAGCAUACAGCGUCCAGUGCACUGGAGGUAGGUUAAACUGCUUCAUCCUCACUCUUCCAUUUCUUUCAUUCAUUCAUCUCGAGUUUUAUUCGUAACUAUACUUCCUCUAAGAGUUGAGCAGAAACAAACGAUAUUAGUCUAUCAGAUCAUCAUUAAUAGGCUUAUUCCAAGCACCUUUUUUCUACCCUUUGUAUGGUUGGAGGAAGGUAUUGAGAAUGGGUAGAAAUAAAGGAAGAGUCGGG